GUAAAAGCAGUAUGGUAAGUUUAUAUUUGUGGGUCUGCCUGAAUAUAUGAAAAUGUCAGAAGUUGUCACAGCAUUUUAAAGAGAUGUGAGUUCUGGCUAAGCCAACAAGUCUUAAAAUUGAUUUUUCUGGGUGAUCUAAGCACAUACAAAUGGAUGAUAAUAGCCCAGUAAAAACACUGGUGUCUUGACUAUUUGUGAGUGGGACACAUUUUUUUCCAUUAUAUGUACUUCUUCAUCCUGCCAAUUCCAGCAGCAAAGAAGUAGUAUUAUAACAGUAUAAAACUACAGAAAUGUGGGUGUACAUAAUUACAUGCAUACAGGGUUACAGGUGAAUUGUUGUUUUCAGAAAUAAGUGAAUUAAAUGAAUUUGUUUACACGUACAGUUUUACAUUACAAUGGGAGCCAACUGGAGGUCAUAGUCCGCAUCCCUUUUCAUUUAGUGCUGAGGCACUGAAAACGCCCUGCUAGUGCUGUGAGGAUGUCCUUUCCACAUCCUCCUCCCACAUUACCAGUUAUAUCACUUGCACUCAUCUAAUACUACACAGGUGGUUUCAUCAUCUUCCUCUGAUUCUUUAAAACGUUCACUCACACAGUCUAGUUGUUUUUUCAUCACACCACUCAACUAUCACACUGUGGUAAGGUCUUUGUUUUCUAUAGUUUUGCUCUUUUCUUUCUACAUGUCUUUCGUUUCCUUUUUUCUUUUGCUGUAUUUUUCCUAUGCUCGCUUCUUUUCUUCUUAACAUAUUUGUUCAGAUGCCACUUUAUUUUUGUUCACUUCUUCUUUCUCUCUAUUUUAAUUUAUUAACGAUCUUCCUUCAGUUUCUUUUUCCUGCUUUGUUUGACUUGCUCUGUAUUUACUUUUUUGCCCUCUGCCUUGCUUUUUUCUUGCCUUCCUUAAUGUCAGUCUACUUAACUUCCUUUUGUAUCUUUUUUGUGCGCUGUCCUCUCUUUGUCUUGUUGACUACUUUCCGUUUUCUUCCUGUCUUUGCCUCUGCCUAUUAGUCACUUUGUCUCUUUUUAACUUGAUCUUUUUUCAUUGCUUCAUUGUCUGUCUUUGUAUUCGUUUGGUCUCUUUUUUAACUUGUCUUCUUUCUCAUUUGUCUCUUUCCAGCUUUUAUUCUUUAUUUUCUUUGCUUAUUCUUUUUCUACCUGGCCGAGCAUCUUCUCACUUUUCCUUUUCAUGCCAGCACCCGACCCAUGUAUCUACCUGUCUGUCUGCCUUCUAUCUGCCUGUUUUGCCUCCUACCUCCUCUCAGGCUGUGCUAGUUCAUUUACUCUGCAUGCUGCCUUGAUGUGAUUUCAAUGCAAAUAGCAAGUGAAACACAAAUGGAUCAGGUUCUUUGUGCAGAGAGACGCACGAAGAGAGAGAUCUUAAGACUGAGUGAGUGCUAGGAAGCGAGUGACUUCCAUUCUUCUGAUUUCCCAAAUGGAGAAGCAUAACAAUCUAUCACUCCUGCAGAGAAAGUCUGUGUGUAUAGAUGGAUGCCGUCUCUCCUGCAGUGAGCACAGCUGCAAAUCACUGUCAAUCACAUAAAAAUCCUGUCUCUGUUUUCUGUGAAACAACACUGGUGAAUUUACAUUUCUACAUAUUCUAACCCAUUCAUACAUACGCACACAUCAUGCAUGCACAAACACACACAGAGACCACCUGCAUAGGAAUUUCAGGCUAUCUUCU
ensembl:lncRNA